CACUUAGGAACGCAGACUAAGAACGCCACGUCCUGUGGCAACGCCUGCAUAAUUCGCUUUAU
rnacentral:sRNA from 1 species